CCUUGUGUUUAAAUUUCAUAGAUUUCUAUUUACUUAUACUAACGUUAUGGUGCGAAAACCAAUAAAAAUGCUUAUUUGGGUCCCUUUUGGCCCCUAAUUCCUAAACUGUUGGGACCUAAACUCCCAAAAUCAAUACCAACCUUCCUUUUGUAGUCAUUAACAUUGUGUUUAAAUUUCAUUGAUUUCUAUUUACUUAAACUAAAGUUAUUGUGCGAAAACCAAGAAUAAUGCUUAUUUGGGCCCUUUUUUGGCCCCUAAUUCCUAAACUGUUGAAACCAAAACUCCCAAAAUCAAUCCCAACCGUUCUUUUGUGGUCAUAAACCUUGUGUCAAAAUUUCAUAGAUUUCUAUUAACUUAAACUAAAGUUAUAGUGCGAAAACCAAGAAAAUGCUUAUUUGGGCCCUUUUUUGGCCCCUAAUUCCUAAACUGUUGAAACCAAAACUCCCAAAAUCAAUCCUAACCGUUCUUUUGUGGUCAUAAACCUUGUGUCAAAAUUUCAUAGAUUUCCAUUCACUUUUACUAAAGUUAGAGUGCGAAAACUAAAAGUAUUCGGACGACGACGACGACGACGACGCCAACGUGAUAGCAAUAUACGACGAAAAAUUUUUCAAAUUUUGCGGUCGUAUAAAAAAGUGUUUACAGUCAAUCUAUUCAUUUGUGUCUCCCCUUCUCAUCAAUCUCAGUAAGAUUUGUUGGGGGGUUUUCCACACUAUAAAAACAAAAUGAAU
rnacentral:lncRNA from 1 species